rnacentral:rRNA from 1 species
UAGGGAAUCUUCCACAAUGGACGCAAGUCUGAUGGAGCAACGCCGCGUGAGUGAAGAAGGCUUUCGGGUCGUAAAACUCUGUUAUUGAAGAAGAACGUGUGUGACAGUAACUGGUCAUGCAGUGACGGUAUUCAAUCAGAAAGUCACGGCUAACUACGUGCCAGCAGCCGCGGUAAUACGUAGGUGGCAAGCGUUGUCCGGAUUUAUUGGGCGUAAAGCGAGUGCAGGCGGUCUUUUAAGUCUGAUGUGAAAGCCUUCGGCUUAACCGAAGAAGGGCAUCGGAAACUGGGAGACUUGAGUGCAGAAGAGGAGAGUGGAACUCCAUGUGUAGCGGUGAAA